UAGAGGCGGUGGAGACAGGAAUGGAGCCAAGGUGGUGGAGGUGGGAGGUGGGAGGGAAAUCAACCGGUUGCUAUGAUGUGCA
rnacentral:sRNA from 1 species